rnacentral:tRNA from 1 species
GGGCUGGUAGCUUAACGCGGCAGAGCGACAGUCUUGCAAACUGUUAGGUGAGAGUUCGAAUCUCUUCCAGUCCA